rnacentral:lncRNA from 1 species
CAGAAGUUUGACAUGAAAGAUUUUAGCGGGAAAUGGUUCAUAACUCGCGGUUUAAAUCCCACUUUUGAUGCUUUUGAUUGUCAAUUGCAUGAGUUCCAUACAGAAGAAAACAAACUUGUGGGGAAUUUAUCGUGGAGAAUACGGACACCUGAUGGAGGAUUUUUUACUCGAUCAGCGGUGCAAAAAUUUGUGCAAGACCCAGAAGUUUGACAUGAAUGAUUUUAGCGGGAAAUGGUUCAUAACUCGCAGUUUAAAUCCCACUUUUGAUGCUUUUGAUUGUCAAUUGCAUGAGUUCCAUACAGAAGAAAACAAACUUGUGGGGAAUUUAUCGUGGAGAAUACGGACACCUGAUGGAGGAUUUUUUACUCGAUCAGCGGUGCAAAAAUUUGUGCAAGAUCCAAAAUAUCCAGGGAUACUCUACAAUCAUGAUAAUGAGUAUCUUCACUACCAAGAUGACUGGUAUUUCCCUAUCUUGAAAUUAGUUCCGUAUCUCUGUGUGCAAAAUUGGACCUUGAUGUUGUACUUGGUUUCCGAUUGACGUAUUCUGUGUAUUAUUAAAACAUGUGAAUUGAUUUUUCCUGCA